UACAGAGGGUGCGAGCGUUGUCCGGAAUCACUGGGCGUAAAGGGCGCGUAGGCGGCGCGGUAAGUCACUUGUGAAAUCUCUGAGCUUAACUCAGAACGGCCAAGUGAUACUGCAGUGCUAGAGUGUGGAAGGGGCAAUCGGAAUUCUUGGUGUAGCGGUGAAAUGCGUAGAUAUCAAGAGGAACACCGGUGGCGAAGGCGACAUCCUGGACCGGCAAUUGACGCUGAGGCG
rnacentral:rRNA from 1 species